CCAGCUGCGCGGGACGCCUGUUAUAACCAGGGCUCGCCAGCGCCCCGGAAGCUGCCCCUUCUCGGGGGUCAUGAUGGGCAGCAAGAUGGCGUCUGCCAGCAGGGUCGUUCAGGUAGUCAAGCCACAUACUCCAUUAAUAAGGUUCCCUGACAGAAGAGACAAUCCUAAAGCAAAUGUAUCAGAAGUUCUACGAUCAGCAGGACUACUAUCUCAUACUUCCUCAAUUUCGCAGCAUUCUAAGGGAAGUAAAUUGCCAGACUGGCUGAUGCAUCAGGGUCCACCAGACACUGCAGAGAAAAUAAAAACUUUACCUCAGAAAUACAGACGGAAACUUAUCUCUCAAGAAGAAAUUUAAUUUAUCCAACGUGGAGGUCUGGAAUAAUCACUGACAAUGAGGCUGCAAUGAGAAGGGACAAUGAAACUCUUCUUUUAGAAGAGUCUUUCUAAAAAAGGACUUCCAGAAUGACAAAUGAAAAAUUGUAUAUUAAACAACUUUAAUAAAUAUGCUGUAAAAAGAAAAAAAAAGAUGAAGUAUAGAAAAUUUAGAUGGACACUUAUAUCUCCUAAUUUAUGUAUCUUGGUCAGCUUCUCUAGAAGUUUACCUGAUUGUUUAUAUACUUUAUACCUUAAUUAAAGUAUACAUUUUAAAAUGUUAGCCUAAUAAUUUACUUUUGAUUAUCAAGCAUAACAGUGUUGAACUAUUGAAAGCACACAAUGUCCAGUGAACCGUCAAAGGCUUCCAGUAAUUUCACUUUUCUUUCAGUUUCUGUUUAAACAAUAUAUUUGGCAGAAUUGCAGCUUUCUGGAAGUAAUUUUCCUAAACUUGAAUGAGGAUCCAUGAAAUAAUAACUCCAUUAUUUGUUCUUACUUCUCAGUGUUUUUGCAUUUACAAAGUUACUGGAGCAUAACUGGCUUAUUAACAAGCAUAUCCUACUCUAAAUGAUAAAAAUAUACCCAUGGUAAAACAGUUGACUUUGUGAUAUUAAGACUAGGGAGUUAACACAUAGCAUUAUAUGUAACCUGUAUUCCUGUAUUCAGAAAAUGAUGGAGUAUAAAAUGGAAAAUGAGAUCAAAAUGAAUAUAGCAUAGGAAUAACAUUUGACCAGAAAUUGUAAUUUAUUGUGUUUUCAGGGGGGUUAAGAAACUCUUGUUCUUUGGCUUAUCUCUUUGUUUUGAUUGUGAUCAUGUAUACAAAUCCUGAUAAUCAUAAACUUUCUCAAACUUAA